UGCUUUACACCAGCUUCCCAUUUGAACAAGGAUAUUAAGUGUUCUUUGAGUCCUUACUGCAAUUUUCCUAAGAAACUGUAGUCUCAAGGUUAAUUAUAUCCAAGGCGUUUUCAAAUCAGAAAGCAACCUCUGUGCAAAUUGUCUGUGUCCAGUGGGUUUGCUGAUGCUGUCAGUCUCAGGAAGCAUUUGUAAUGGCUGCUAGAAGAUUUGGGCCUGGAUCUUAAUGGUUAAUUUCAACUAGAUUAGCACCACUGAAUCAAGUCCUGAAUGAAGUAUGCGUGUGCGGAAGAUAUUAGUGCAACUGCAUCGAUCACGGGGUUCCAGGUUACAUCAGCGACAUGAUGUCACCAGACUUUCGGGUUUUGUUGCUAGGAGGUCGACUGCAAGAGCGGAAUAGCAUUAUUUAAAGCACAGGACCCAAGGCAGCUCACAUCAAGUUACCUAUUACUGAUGGGAUCAGAAUUCACAAGGAUUAGCUCGAUUUGGUAACAUGCCAGAUAAAGACAUAUGAAAUCCAUGCCCAAACAACUCAGUCCAAACAGCUUCAUAUCUCAUUUUUUCCCUUACCUCCCAAAUUGUUUACCCACUUGCUGUAUAGAAUGUCUGUUUUACAUCUGAAGUUUAAAGUGCUGAAAAACUGAACUUUUUGAUGCAAAAUGCUGAUGUACUCUCUUCUGUAGUGGUGCUUCUGAAUGAGGCUAAAAUAAAGCUAACACCAGAAUCUUUAAUUCUUAUGAUGAGUUGAAUACACACCUCUUAUUUGUGGUGUUAUAAUAUAGGUGAUUAUGAGUCAGUAUUGCUAAAAUAAAAAUAAAUCAUCUAGUUUUUACAAACUCUAUGCAACCUUAUCCUAGGACAAAAAAAUCUAAGGAGCCUUUCAUUUAAACUACAGACAACAAAUGUAACAGUCCUAGUAGAUUCAUUUCUAAAGUGCAGGUGGAAUUUCUCUAGGUUUCCCUAUUUAAUUCAGUUAAGCAGUUAUCUUCACAUUAGGGAUAUAAUGAAUAUUUGAAUUUUUUUUCCUUAACAGGAAAGAGUAUCUCAAAAUGACUAAAUGUGUUACAAGAAUUUUUGUGUUUUUAAAAAUGAUUUUUGUUUGUAUUAUGAGACUUUUAUGCAAUAAUUUCAUUUUCAUAAAAUAUAUUUUACAUAAAGUGCCACAUUUUUUCAUAGGAAUAUGAUGGCUGGAAUCCUGUUAGGUAGUUACAAAUGUGUAACACAAUGAUGGGAUAUAUACACACUACAGCAUUUGUAGC